GCGCCCAUAGCUCAGCCUGGAUAGAGCACCGGGCUACGGACCCGGGUGCGGGGGUUCAAAUCCUCCUGGGCGCA
rnacentral:tRNA from 1 species